CAUGAUUGUGGUUGUGGAGGCUGUAAUAUUUGAUCUUUGUGGUACCCUGAAAUAUAUCCAGAAGAUAGAUAGGUUGAAGGUAAAAAUAAUAAAACUGAGGUUGGUUGUUCAGCCUCCAUCAGUGAGGAGUGAGAUGAGGCUACACAAGCCUGAAGCUUCAGCUAGUCUGUCACUUUCCUGCUAAGCUGCGAAGUGCUAACAGACAGUACGCGGCAGCCGGUUCUAGGGUAUCAAACGGGGUUGUUGUUUAUUGAGCUGUGCUUUUCUUGCUCACUAAUAUGAGAUGCUAAGUUUACCAUUAAGAAGAACUCAUGAUCUGCUACCAUGUCUGCCUUGUUAUUGACUAGCUUUUGGUCACUUCAUUACUCCUUUGUUCCUGUGUUGUGCUUGUGGGUUUUUUCAGUUUUGUUUCAAGCUUUGGUCUGGAUGCUGGUAUUGUGACUUGACUAUGUUUGCCUGAUCGUUGCACAGGGCGUUAUUUGUGGGAUGCCAGACUUCAAGAUGGACGGAAAGAGGGGUGAUGAAUCUGCCCCUGCUGAUGCUGGUGAUGAAGAUGGUGAAGAUGAUGAUGGGGACGAGGAUGGCGACUUUGCUGAGGGCGAAGAGGAGAUCUCGGAAGGAGAGGAGUAUGACAACCCCAAGGCCGGUGAUGCCAAGAAGAAACAAAUAG
rnacentral:lncRNA from 1 species